rnacentral:lncRNA from 1 species
UAUAUUGGAAUUGUCAAAAGGAUUGUAAUAAUUGGUACAUUCAUCGAAAGGAAAUCAACGAAAUGCAGUUGAUUGUGGCGCCGGUCCCGCUCUUUUCUCGGACGACGAACGGUGACUGCUAUGCUUGAACGAGAAGAGAUGACGACUGGGUGGCUCGUAGCGAGCGAGUCGAGGGUGGAGGAUCGACGGAGGGGCGGAUGAAGCGGACGAGGGGUAACGUUGUUGCGGAGGAGGAGGACGAAUCAGAA